GAUGAAGAACGCAGCGAAAUGCGAUAAGUAAUGUGAAUUGCAGAAUUCAGUGAAUCAUCGAAUCUUUGAACGCACAUUGCGCCCAUUAGUAUUCUAGUGGGCAUGCCUGUUCGAGCGUCAUUUCAACCCUUAAGCCUAGCUUAGUGUUGGGAGACUGCCUAAUACGCAGCUCCUCAAAACCAGUGGCGGAGUCUGUUCGUGCUCUGAGCGUAGUAAUUUUUUAUCUCGCUUCUGCAAGCCGGCCAGACGACAGCCAUAAACCGCACCCUCUCGGGGGGCACUUUUUUAAUGGUUGACCUCGGAUCAGGUAGGAAUACCCGCUGAACUUAAGCAUAUCAAUAAGCGGAGGA
rnacentral:misc_RNA from 1 species